UUUCUUCGGAGAGUUUGAUCCUGGCUCAGGAUGAACGCUGGCGGCGUGCCUAAUACAUGCAAGUCGAGCGAACUGAUUAGAAGCUUGCUUCUAUGACGUUAGCGGCGGACGGGUGAGUAACACGUGGGCAACCUGCCUGUAAGACUGGGAUAACUUCGGGAAACCGAAGCUAAUACCGGAUAGGAUCUUCUCCUUCAUGGGAGAUGAUUGAAAGAUGGUUUCGGCUAUC
rnacentral:rRNA from 1 species